UACAGAGACUGCAAGCGUUAAUCGGAAUUACUGGGCGUAAAGCGUGCGUAGACGGUCAUGUAAGUCGGGUGUGAAAGCCCCGGGCUCAACCUGGGAAUUGCAUUCGAGACUGCAUGGCUAGGGUGCGGAAGAGGGAAGCGGAAUUUCCGGUGUAGCGGUGAAAUGCGUAGAUAUCGGAAGGAACACCAGUGGCGAAAGCGGCUUCCUGGUCCAGCACCGACGUUCAGGCACGAAAGCGUGGGGAGCAAACAGG
rnacentral:rRNA from 1 species